rnacentral:rRNA from 1 species
AUUGAACGCUGGCGGCAGGCUUAACACAUGCAAGUCGAGCGGUAGCAGUCCUUUAGGGGAGCUGACGAGCGGCGGACGGGUGAGUAACGCGUGGGAAUCUGUCUGAUAGAGGGGGAUAGCCCGGGGAAACUCGGAUUAAUACCGCAUAAAGUCUAAGGACCAAAGCAGGGGAUCGCAAGACCUUGCGCUAUCAGGUGAGCCCGCGUCAGAUUAGCUAGUUGGUAGGGUAAAGGCCUACCAAGGCGACGAUCUGUAGCUGGCCUGAGAGGGUGGCCAGCCACACUGGGACUGAGACACGGCCCAGACUCCUACGGGAGGCAGCAGUGGGGAAUCUUGGACAAUGGGCGCAAGCCUGAUCCAGCCAUGCCGCGUGUGUGAAGAAGGCCUUCGGGUUGUAAAGCACUUUAAGCUGGGAGGAAGGAU